UACGGAGGAUCCGAGCGUUAUCCGGAUUUACUGGGUUUAAAGGGUGCGUAGGCGGGCGUCUAAGUCAGCGGUGAAAUGCGGGGGCUCAACCUUCGAACUGCCGUUGAUACUGGGCGUCUUGGAUUCGGUCGAGGCGGGCGGAAUGCGUGGUGUAGCGGUGAAAUGCUUAGAUAUCACGCAGAACGCCGAUUGCGAAGGCAGCUCGCCGGGCCGAUAUCGACGCUGAGGCACGAAAGCGUGGGGAUCGAACAGG
rnacentral:rRNA from 1 species